UGUUUUGUGCCUCCAGAUAUGAGAAAGAAGGCGUCCAAGUUCCUGAAUUGCCUUUUCAUAGAUUUCCAAAAUGUCCUGAAUUUAGAACUGCGUGGAUCAGGGCCAUAAAACGAAAAAACUGGGAGCCAAAGGAAUAUUCUCGUCUAUGCUCCAAACAUUUCGAAGAGUCUUGAUAUAACUACAUAUUUCUGGUUUAAAAAUAAAUAAAUUGAAAUCAGAUGCAAUACCAACUAUAUUUGAAGGAUAUCUUAUAUACCAUCAACCAGUAAGCACUAAGCACUUUCAAAUUGUAUGUAGGUACCUAUCCACUAAUAAAUAUAUAGUAAUAUUACACUUUUCUUUAUUUGACAAUAGUU